rnacentral:lncRNA from 1 species
CAAUUUUCCAUUUUCCAUUUUCAAUUACCAUUUUUGAACACAGUGUAAUGAUGAGUAGAAAACCUAAUAGUAAAACAUAUUUGCAUUGUCCUGUUUAAAAACCUUAGACUUGAUCAGAGGACAAACAAGUUUGAAACAACAACAACAAAAAAGCAGAAUCUAAAGAAACGGGGCAUGAGAAAACAGGUUUAUGUAACAUCACCUACAGCCUAUAUAAUAAAAGAGAAAAUACAUGUCUGGCGCCUGCAUAUUUUGGAACGUAGCAGCAUAAUACUCUGUGCACUCACUGAAGUCAACCAAGCAAGCACCACAUCGACACUGAACAAGCCUGCAGAGGACACCAAAGCACAACCUGUGCUACACUGACACAUACAAAGAAAUAUGUAGUAACUGUAGAAGCCUAAUUUAGGUUCAAAGUAGCACCAUGGAAUUAACUAGUCACGCCUGAGACUGCCUGCAAGGAGUUACCAACUGAAAACCUAGAAGCAGCAGUACAAGUGGAGGAGAAGUGUCCUGGAAGAGGAAACCUGCACUCAAGGGAUAGAAGACGAAGCCCAGAAGAGUGGAACAAUAGGCUAAGCUUAGGACAGAUGGGCAAAAAAGAAGUGCCUUUCACCUCCCGCCAUGAUUCUGAGGCCCCCCCAAGCCAUAUGGAACUCAUCAUUGAAUGACAAAGCUGAAAAGGAACUGGAUAUCAGGGAUCACAAACCCAAAUGCUUACAGGGGCUACCACACGGAUAUUGGACAAGAGGACUUAAGACUCUGAAAGGUAACAGCAGAAACAACUUCCUUCCACCCUGUGUGUGUCACUGUCUACAGCAGCAUGGAGAAGUCAGGCGAGUGUUUCCCAUAAAUUCAGUGGGAUUCUUAUGGUAACCGUGGGAAGAAGAGAGUGCAGGACUAAAAUAAAACACAUAUGGUCAUUUCUUUUCUUUUUUCAUUUUUUCUUGAUUUGAGAUAUUGUACUUUAUUCUAUGCAAAGAAUGCACUUGGUUUUAUAAAUGGUAAUAGAUUCAGUAUUCUAACACUCAUUUCUCA